AUUGAACGCUGGCGGCAGGCCUAACCCAUGCAAGUCGAACGAGUGGCGGAAGGGUGAGUAAUGUCUGGGAAACUGCCUGAUGGAGGGGGAUAACUACUGGAAACGGUAGCUAAUACCGCAUACCCUCAGAUGUGCCCAGAUGGGAUUAGCUAGUAGUUGGGUUAACGUCUCACCAAGGCGACGAUCCCUAGCUGGUAGGAGAGGAUGACCAGCCACACUUGAACUGAGACACGGUCCAGACUCCUACGGGAGGCAGCAGUGGGGAAUAUUGCACAAUGGGCGCAAGCCUGAUGCAGCCAUGCCGCGUGUAUGAAGAAGGCCUUCGGGUUGUAAAGUACUGUCAGCGAGGAGGCGUGACUCGCAGAAGAAGCACCGGCUAACUCCGUGCCAGCAGCCGCGGUAAUAC
rnacentral:rRNA from 1 species